UUUUUAAUGUUUUUCUCCUUCUGUGGAUGUUUUCUUUCUUCUAUCGUUGCCCUGUUUUUACCUCUCGAUUGAUUUUCUGUGGCUGUUGUGUUUCUCUGUAAUAUUUCUUUUUCAUUUCAUAAAUUUUUUCUCUCAGUAGUUUCGUUUUAGCGUGCACGCUGGUCCGUCUAUUCAUUUUGUUUUCUGUACAUUUUAAUCUUGUGUUAUAUUUUUGUCCCCUGUAGUUUGAUGUGGUCUUGUCCAUGGUAGCAGAAAAAGAAGAGACAGAGAAGAGGCCACGACAGACGAAUGAGAAGAGGCAGAAUUCUGCUUCUUCUAGGACACGGGAACAGAUUGGAUGCAUUGUCAAGCAUAGCUGAGUAAGAGACAGAGAAGCAAAAGAAGAGACAGAGUAGAGGCGACGACAGAUGAAUGAGAAGAGGUAGAAUUCUUCUUCUUCCAGCAAAAGAAGAGACAGAGAAGAGGCGGUGGAAGAAGAUGAAUGAGAACAGACAUAAUUAUUCUUCUUACAGGUAAU